CUGUGUGUCAGUGUCUGCAGGGAGGGGACAGGGGAUGGAGCAGGCUCUGCUCCGUGGGGCCAUGGGACAAGAGGAAUGGGCAGAUGGAUGUACAGAGAAUCCACCUGAACAUGAAGAAGAAUUUAAGACCAAGCACUGGAACUGAUUGUCCAGAGAAGGUGUGGAAUCACUGGAACUAUUCCAGACACAUCUGGACACAAUUCUGUGAGAUGACCCUGCUUGAGGAGGGAGGUGGGACCAGAUGACCCACGGUGGUUCCUUUCAGCCUGACCCAUUCUGUGAUUCUGUGAAGUUAACAGGAUUAGAUGAACACGGGGGAGAGAAGGCCUGGAUCAGUGAACAACAAAGAUAUUGAAUGAUUGCUUUUCAUGAGCCCAGCUGCUUUGUGUGGAAAACAUGGUUCCUGCACCUUGUAGUGUGAAGUACAGAUGUACUGCAGGUAUGCUUUCUCCUCCCCUGUACCCUCCCAUCCCUUCAGAUUGUGCCUACACCCAAAAUGUGCAUUGAAAUAAGACAAGAAGAGUGACUCAAAAGCAGUAAGUUUGUGAAACUACUAGAGGGCAUUGAGUGGAUGUAACUGUGUCUUAGAUGGGAAGGUAGUGGGAAGCACAUAAAAGGGAAAGGACUUUAUGAUGGAAGAAGUUUCUUCAUGUAAAUUAAGGAUUUCUUACAAAUGUGAUGUGGGAAAGAAGGUGCCAGAGUGAAUAAGACUGUUUUGAAAAAGUUAUUUCUCUUAUAACAGUUAUUAUCUUUGUGUUUCAUAUCUGUGUGUGUUAGCAAUCAUUUCAAAUUUUUCUAUGAAUUUCGUUACAAUGUUUUCCAUAAAGCAUUCACUCUGAAAGUCAUACCACAACAAUAGAGUAUCAUGUUAUUUUUUUCACAUUUGCAGAAGGAAUUGUAUUUUUCAGACUUU